UACAGAGGUCCCAAGCGUUGUUCGGAUUCACUGGGCGUAAAGGGUGCGUAGGUGGCAGUGUAAGUCUGAUGUGAAAGCUUCGAGCUUAACUCGAAAAUGGCAUUGGAUACUAUAUUGCUGGAGGUUUGGAGGGGGGACUGGAAUUCUCGGUGUAGCAGUGAAAUGCGUAGAUAUCGAGAGGAACACCGGUGGCGAAGGCGAGUCACUGGACAACAACUGACACUGAGGCACGAAAGCUAGGGGAGCAAACAGG
rnacentral:rRNA from 1 species